AGCUGAAAGUCGGUUUACGCUGACACUUACAGAUGGGCCCGCGGCGCAUUAACUAGUUGGUGAGGUAACGGCUCACCAAGGCGACCAUGCGUAGCCGACCUGAGAGGGUGAUCGGCCACACUGGGACUGAGACACGGCCCAGACUCCUACGGGAGGCAGCAG
rnacentral:rRNA from 1 species